CAGCCGCCGCGGUAAGACGGAGGGUGCUAGCGUUGUUCGGAAUCACUGGGCGUAAAGGGCGCGUAGGCGGCCUGUUAAGUCGGAUGUGAAAGCCCGGGGCUCAACCCCGGAACUGCAUCCGAGACUGGCAGGCUUGAGACCGGGAGAGGAGGGUGGAAUAUCCAGUGUAGAGGUGAAAUUCGUAGAUAUUGGAUGGAACACCGGUGGCGAAAGCGGCUCUCUGGCCCGGAUCUGACGCUGAGGCGCGAAAGCGUGGGGAGCAAACAGGAUUAGAUACCCGAGUAGUCCCUGUCUCUUAUAC
rnacentral:rRNA from 1 species